rnacentral:siRNA from 1 species
GCCGUCGGGGCAAGAGCCAGGCCUCG